CGGGGGGAGGUUUGAUGACUACUUGGUCGGGGGGAGGUUUGAUGACUACUUGGUCCCCCCUAAGGUACAUUAUAAGGCAUUUUUGGUGUGGCAGGU